rnacentral:antisense_RNA from 1 species
GGCUUUCUUGUGACUCUUGUCGCAUCCUCACCGCUAGAAGUUCACUGAGCCCUGGCGAUUCCUCGCUUUUAUAAUCUAGCCACUUAGCCAAAGCCCUCUUUUAUCUCUUGCCUAAUUGACAACUACAGCAGCGCCCUGAGGCAAUCUGAGAGUUUAAGAAAAGUUCUCAAACGCUUUCGACAGCGGACGAUGAACUGGAGGCAGCAGCUGAGCUGUUUUCCAAGCCCGUUAAAUGUGAACUUCUGAUAAACGAGUGAUUUUUUUAAAAUUUCCUAUGUACAUAGAAGCUUAUUGUUGAAGUCCUCCCAUCCAAUGCACUCAGAACGGGACUGUAAGUCCAGCUGCUGUGUAUCAUCACCUCAGUCCGAUUGGUCCUCGGCCACACCUUCACUUCAGCUUCUGAUAGGUCCUGGGCCAAGCUAAGCAGCAUCUAUGAAUCAUUUAACCUCCUGACUGGUCCCGGGCCAAGCCGAGUCACGCAUUCGCCAAGACAGCCCACAGACUAAGCACAUUCCUUCCCCUUCCGUCCAUAAAAACCUGGACCCCAGCCUCAUGGUGGGCACUCUGGUUCGGGACCCCCUCUCUGCUGGCAGAGAGCUUUCUUCUUUCACCUUAUUAAACUUUCACUCUAACCUCA